AGCAGGAAGAAAGUUCAAAAUGAGCCAUUCCUUCUUUAUCCCAACUUGGGUUCUAUUCUUCCUGAUAUCUUCCUCUCUCACAAUCCAAUUUCAAUUAGCUAAUGGAGAAAUCGUUGAAGAAAAGGGGAGAUUUGGAGGAAGAACUGGUAUUAGCCCACCAGCGCCGGCCACAAACCCAAUAAAGCACUAUUUUCCACCUUUGAAGGGGCCAGGUUGUGGUCCUGAUACUCCUGCUGGUCCUCCAGGAAGAAUUAACGAGAGGAAAUUCAAAUGACAUUUUUUAGUUGAGGGCUAAUGGCUUGUACGUUUUCGUUUGUGAUUAUAGCUUAAUCUGAAUCUUACGCGGAGCCUGAGCAAUUGGUUAGCUCAGACGUUGCAGAUAGUUGAGCUAUCUUGAGGCAGAAUGAUUACGAUGAAUAAAAUUGCCAUAUUUUGAGCAUGUUUUUUA